AGGCGAUGAAGGACGUGAUAAGCUGCGAUAAGUCACGGGGAGGUGCAAAUAACCUUUGAUCCGUGAAUCUCCGAAUGGGACAACCCGAUAUCCUGAAGGGAUAUCACCUCAUCUAGUUGAGGAGCUAACGCAGGGAACUGAAACAUCUUAGUACCUGCAGGAAAAGAAAAUAACAAUGAUUCCCCCAGUAGUGGCGAGCGAACGGGGAAGAGCCCAAACCAUUCAUGU
rnacentral:rRNA from 1 species